rnacentral:rRNA from 1 species
UAGAGUUUGAUCCUGGCUCAGGAUGAACGCUGGCGGUAUGCUUAACACAUGCAAGUCGAACGGAAGUCUUCGGACUUUAGUGGCGGACGGGUGAGUAACGCGUGAGGAUCUGCCUACAGGACUGGGACAACAGCUGGAAACGGCUGCUAUAACCGGAUGUGCCGAGAGGUGAAAUAUUUAUAGCCUGUAGAUGAGCUCGCGUCUGAUUAGCUAGUUGGUGAGGUAAGGGCUCACCAAGGCGACGAUCAGUAGCUGGUCUGAGAGGACGAUCAGCCACACUGGGACUGAGACACGGCCCACACUCCUACGGGAGGCAGCAGUGGGGAAUUUUCCGCAAUGGGCGAAAGCCUGACGGAGCAAUACCGCGUGAGGGAGGAAGGUCUGUGGAUUGUACACCUCUUUUGAUAGGGAAGAAGUUCUGACGGUACCUAUCGAAUCAGCAUCGGCUAACUCCGUGCCAGCAGCCGCGGUAAUACGGAGGAUGCAAGCGUUAUCCGGAUUUAUUGGGCGUAAAGCGUCCGUAGGUGGUUAUUCAAGUCUAUUGUCAAAGCCUGGGGCUUAACCCUGGAGAGGCGGUGGAAACUGAAUAACU